CUCUUUGGUUAUCUAGCUGUAUGAGUUCUAUAUGACGUCAUAAAGCUAGCUUACCGAAGUU
rnacentral:pre_miRNA from 2 species